GCCUUGGUGGUGGAAUUGGCAUACGCGCUAGGUUUAGGACCUAGUUCCCGCAAGGGAUUGGGAGUUCGACUCUCCCCCAAGGCA
rnacentral:tRNA from 1 species